UACGGAGGGUGCAAGCGUUGUCCGGAUUUAUUGGGUUUAAAGGGCGCGUAGGCGGCGCGGUAUGUCACCUGUGAAAUCUCCUGGCUCAACUGGGAGCUUGCAGGCGAAACUGCCGUGCUGGAGUGUGGGAGAGGUGCGUGGAAUUCCUGGUGUAGCGGUGAAAUGCGUAGAUAUCAGGAGGAACACCUGUGGCGAAAAGCGGCGCACUGGACCACAACUGACGCUGAGGCGCGAAGCUAGGGGAGCAAACAGG
rnacentral:rRNA from 1 species